UUUAUUGGAGAGUUUGAUCCUGGCUCAGGAUGAACGCUGGCGGCGUGCCUAAUACAUGCAAGUCGAGCGAAUGGAUUAAGAGCUUGCUCUUAUGAAGUUAGCGGCGGACGGGUGAGUAACACGUGGGUAACCUGCCCAUAAGACUGGGAUAACUCCGGGAAACCGGGGCUAAUACCGGAUAACAUUUUGAACCGCAUGGUUCGAAAUUGAAAGGCGGCUUCGGCUGUCACUUAUGGAUGGACCCGCGUCGCAUUAGCUAGUUGGUGAGGUAACGGCUCACCAAGGCAACGAUGCGUAGCCGACCUGAGAGGGUGAUCGGCCACACUGGGACUG
rnacentral:rRNA from 1 species